rnacentral:rRNA from 1 species
UACAGAGGUCUCAAGCGUUGUUCGGAUUCAUUGGGCGUAAAGGGUGCGUAGGCGGCGUGGUAAGUCGGGUGUGAAAUCUUGGAGCUUAACUCCGAAACUGCAUUCGAUACUGCCGUGCUUGAGGACUGGAGAGGAGACUGGAAUUUACGGUGUAGCGGUGAAAUGCGUAGAUAUCGUAAGGAAGACCAGUGGCGAAGGCGGGUCUCUGGACAGUUCCUGACGCUGAGGCACGAAGGUCAGGGGAGCAAACGGG